ensembl:lncRNA
GGAAGGUCUUUCUAAACAGUGGACAAGAAUACUCAUCUUUCUGGAGGACCUGGAAAGAGGAAAUGUGUAGCAUGCAAGCGUAUAAAGGCAUGCUAUGAAGGUAACAGGCCUUCCCCGGUAGCUCCAAGAUAAAGAAUCCACCUGCAGUGCAGGAGAUGUGGGUUCAAUCCCUGGGUCAGGAAGAUUCCCUGGAGGGGGCAUGGCAACUCACUGUAGUAUUAUGACAGGAAGAUCGCAUGAACAGAGGAGCCUGGCAGGCUACAGUCCAUGGGGAGGCAGAGUGGGACAUGACUGAAGCGACUGAGAACACACACAUGCCCAAAGUGCCUACACAGUGUUAACUGACAGUACAAAAGCGCUGGCGAGAGCUGCGCACUAAGUGCGGCCAAGAGGAACUACCCCACAUCCGAGGUCAGGGGCAGCGGCCAGAGUGCCAGGCUGCGACAGCGCCGGAGCGGCUGAGAGGAGCUACCCUGUGUCCAAGGUCAAGGGCGGCGGCCGGGAGGAGACACCUCGCGUCCGAGGUCAGGGGCGGCUGGGAGAAGCCACCUCACGCCCGAGGCCAGGGGUGGUGACCCUGAGGAGCCACCCUGAGCCUGAGGCCAGGGGCGGCAGCUAGGAGAAGCCACCUAAGCCCGAGGCCAGGGCCAGCACCCAGGAGGAGCAUCACAAGGAGUGGUGGCGACCUAGGCGCAAGAGGGCCUAAAGGAGCUAUCCCACAUUGAAGGUGAGGAAUGGCGGUGGUAAGGAGAUACCCCUCGUCCAAGGUAAGGAGCAGCAGCUGUGCUUUGCUGGAGCAGCCAUGAAGAGAUACCCCAUUCCCAAGGUAAGAGAAACCAAAGUAAGAUGGUAGGUGUUGCAAGAGGGCAUCAGAGGACAGACACACUGAAACCAUACUCACAGAAAACUAGUCAAUCUAAUCACACUAGGACAACAGCCUUGUCUAACUCAAUGAAACCAAGCCAUGCCUGCGGGGCAACCCAAGACAGGUGGGUCAUGGUGGAGAGGUCUGACAGAGCCUGGUCCACUGGAGAAGGGAAUGGCAAGCCACUUCAGUAUUCUUGCCUUGAGAACCCCAUGAACAGUAUGAAAAGGCAAAAUGAUAGGAUACCGAAAGAGGAACUCCCCAGGUCAGCAGGUGCCCAAUAUGCUACUGGAAAUCAGUGGAGAAAUAACUCCAGAAAGAAUGAAGGGAUGGAGCCAAAGCAAAAACAAUACCGAGUUAUGGAUGUGACUGGUGAUAGAAGUAAGAUCUGAUGAUAUAAAGAGCAAUAUUGCAUAGGAACCUGG